rnacentral:tRNA from 1 species
GCUUGAUUGAUGUAGCGGUUAUCAAAAUCUCCUACAGCUUCCGACAACCCUGGUUCGAUUCCAGGAUCGAGCU